rnacentral:misc_RNA from 1 species
GAUCCUUUCCCAAACAGCACAUUAACACACUGGAAACUUGAUAAAACAGAGGACACAUGGCGUCGCCGACAAAAGUUGAGAAGGAAUUAUCAUUUUGAUAAAAAACUUUGUCGUCCUACCUCUACCACACCUAGUAUUGAGGCUCUUAAUCCUUCCAGUGAUGCCAAAUCUGGUUUUGCGGCACAUAUUCCAGAGCAAAUGAAGAGGUUCUUGCUGAAAG